rnacentral:rRNA from 1 species
GCUUACCAUGCAGUCGAACGAUGAACCGCUUUCGGGCGGGGAUUAGUGGCGAACGGGUGAGUAACACGUGGGCAAUCUGCCCUGCACUCUGGGACAAGCCCUGGAAACGGGGUCUAAUACCGGAUAUGACUGUCUGCCGCAUGGUGGAUGGUGUAAAGCUCCGGCGGUGCAGGAUGAGCCCGCGGCCUAUCAGCUUGUUGGUGAGGUAGUGGCUCACCAAGGCGACGACGGGUAGCCGGCCUGAGAGGGCGACCGGCCACACUGGGACUGAGACACGGCCCAGACUCCUACGGGAGGCAGCAGUGGGGAAUAUUGCACAAUGGGCGAAAGCCUGAUGCAGCGACGCCGCGUGAGGGAUGACGGCCUUCGGGUUGUAAACCUCUUUCAGCAGGGAAGAAGCGAAAGUGACGGUACCUGCAGAAGAAGCGCCGGCUAACUACGUGCCAGCAGCCGCGGUAAUACGUAGGGCGCAAGCGUUGUCCGGAAUUAUUGGGCGUAAAGAGCUCGUAGGCGGCUUGUCACGUCGGUUGUGAAAGCCCGGGGCUUAACCCCGGGUCUGCAGUCGAUACGGGCAGGCUAGAGUUCGGUAGGGGAGAUCGGAAUUCCUGGUGUAGCGGUGAAAUGCGCAGAUAUCAGGAGGAACACCGGUGGCGAAGGCGGAUCUCUGGGCCGAUACUGACGCUGAGGAGCGAAAGCGUGGGGAGCGAACAGGAUUAGAUACCCUGGUAGUCCACGCCGUAAACGGUGGGCACUAGGUGUGGGCAACAUUCCACGUUGUCCGUGCCGCAGCUAACGCAUUAAGUG